rnacentral:lncRNA from 1 species
AACUAUAAUUAGUAAGUUUUAGCAAGCUAUAUUUCUUAAUCUAAUCAUCUAUUUGGUAUAAAAUUUUGUACAAAAAUUCCACUUUAAGUCUUCUAUAUGCUCCAAAAAAUUCAAUCUAAUUUAUAGAUUGUGAUAAAAAGCUCAAAAACUACAUUAAUGAUACUUGGCUGCCAACUUGAAAGUUAAUGCAGAUGUCUUAGUAGUGAUUUCUCCUUUUUCAACUGUUAAUUUUAAUUCGAAAUUUGUAAGUAGAUAAACAUUGAA